rnacentral:lncRNA from 1 species
GCAGCAAACCAGUCAAGAAGAGCUGAUCUUGUGGCUUCAGAUUUUCCAAGCCAGAUGUGCAGAUGAAUGUGAGGAUCAACAACAAAAAGCAUAUUUGAAAAACUUUUAAGUCCACUUGAACUUGUAUAGGUUUCACGUGCACUCUGUGAUCCCAAGGCUUAUGAAAGAGUGUGUGUUCUAGGACCAUGGUGCCUGGAGGCUUGUGGAUAGGCGGGUAUUUCUACACCAAGAUAUUGAGACAACUGUCACCCUGGAAAAUGAGCAUAGCAGCCUCUCCCUCUUCUUCCCACACUUCUGGACAGAGAUUUUGCCCCAGGAGAGUGUAACAUGUGCUGACACAGCAGGAUGAGGUGGGAAGAGUAGCAGUGACAGGAGAAUGAGCAACGAGGUCAAAAGUAAUAGCAGAGUAGCAGAAGGGAGGUGAUGGUCUGGGAAGAAGGGCAAAUCUGACAACCGUGCAUUAUGUUGUCAAAUGCUAAACCAAGUGAAUCUUACUCCCUUUUAGACUGUGGGGAAAGGGGUUUAUGACUGAGUGUGGUUUUCCACAUCAUUCUCUAGCGAUCAUACCUCUCCAAAUGUUAAGUGAGACUACAUUGGCUACAAGACAUGUAAUCGAGCCCAGAUGGAAAGGGCCUGAUAAAGGUAAGAUGUUGUUCUUGUAUAUGACAUUGCAAGAGUGAGUGGCAGCAGUGCACGCUCAGUGCCAAAUAUCUGCAGCAUGAAGGAGGUAGCCAUUGGUGCUGGCCAAUGGUGGGUUCUUCAGAAGAAAUAAACAUGUUGCAUAGAACAAAAUGUGGCCUCCAGUGAGCCCCAGA